rnacentral:rRNA from 1 species
GGCAGCAGCUAAGAAUAUUCCGCAAUGGACGAAAGUCUGACGGAGCGACGCCGCGUGGAUGAUGAAGGCCGGAAGGUUGUAAAAUCCUUUUAUGACUGAGGAAUAAGUUCUCUGAGAGAAACGGAGGAUGGUGACUGUAGGUCAUGAAUAAGCAACGGCUAAUUACGUGCCAGCAGCCGCGGUAACACGUAAGUUGCGAGCGUUGUUCGGAAUUAUUGGGCGUAAAGGGCAUGUAGGCGGUUCUGCAAGUCUGGUGUGAAAUACCGGGGCUCAACCCCGGAACUGCGUUGGAAACUGCAGAACUUGAGUCGCUGAGGGGCAGCCAGAAUUCCAGGUGUAGGGGUGAAAUCUGUAGAUAUCUGGAAGAAUACCAAUGGCGAAGGCAGGCUGCCAGCAGAUGACUGACGCUGAGGUGCGAAGGUGCGGGGAGCAAACAGGAUUAGAUACCCUGGUAGUCCGCACAGUCAACUAUGUACACUGGGUGUCCGGUCAUGAGACUGGGUGCCGAAGCAAACGCGAUAAGUGUACCGCCUGGGGAGUAUGCCCGCAAGGGUGAAACUCAAAGGAAUUGACGG